rnacentral:rRNA from 1 species
AGAGGGGGAUAACGAUUGGAAACGAUCGCUAAUACCGCAUGACAUAGCGGAACCGCAUGGUUCUGUUAUCAAAGAUUUUAUCGCUGAUAGAUGGGCUCGCGUCCGAUUAGAUAGUUGGUGGGGUAACGGCCUACCAAGUCGACGAUCGGUAGCCGGACUGAGAGGUCGAANGGCCACAUUGGGACUGAGACACGGCCCAGACUCCUACGGGAGGCAGCAGUGGGGGAUAUUGCACAAUGGGGGAAACCCUGAUGCAGCGACGCCGCGUGAGGGAAGACGGUCCUCUGGAUUGUAAACCUCUGUCUUCUGGGACGAAACGAGACGGUACCCGAGGAGGAAGNCANNGAUAACUACNUGCCAGCAGCCGCGGUAAUACGUAGGUGGCAAGCGUUGUCCGGAAUUACUGGGUGUAAAGGGAGCGUANGCGGGCAGGCAAGUCAGGNGUGAAAUAUAUCGGCUCAACCGGUAACGGCGCUUGAAACUGCANGUUUUGAGUGAAGUAAAAGGUUGGCGGAAUUCCUA